GGGGGUGAACAGGGUUCGACGGGAGUGGAAGAAGUAAUGACAGCAGGCCGGAGUUGGUCGAUGGCUCCGCAAAAAUCGACCAAAAAACAAACAACGAAACUGUUGUUCCUAAGUAUGACGUUAAACCCUUCAAUAUGAUGGGCUUUGGCGUUAUGCCAAUGGCUGCUUAACGCAGCUUCGUUUUACUCUAGACACCUGCUAUAGGGAUAAAACGUCAAGAGCAGGUUAGUUUUAAACGGCUUGUGCCGUCAGUUUAAAAUGAAAUUAAAACGGCACUAGUUUAUAACGUAGUAUCGUCCGAUUACAGCGUUAUAAACGAGAUAAAUUUUCGGACUAAGCCUGUAGCGGUCUUACUAAAACAUUUUCGGACGCGGGUUCAAUUCCCGCCACCUCCACCA
rnacentral:tmRNA from 1 species